GACGAACGCUGGCGGCGCGCUUAACACAUGCAAGUCGAGCGAAGCGGCGGACGGGUGAGUAACACGUGAGUAACCUGACUUAGACAUUGGGAUAGCCUCGGGAAACCGGGAUUAAUACCAAAUGGUCUAAGAUGGACUCGCGUCCCAUUAGAUAGUUGGUGAGGUAACGGCCCACCAACGCGACGAUGGGUAGCAGGCCUGCGAGGGUGAACUGCCACAUGUGAACUGAGCAACGUGCCAAACUCUACGGGAGGCAGCAGUGGGGAAUAUUGCAAAAGGGAGGGAACUCUGAUGCAGCGACGCCGCGUGAACGAAGAAGGCUUUCGAGUCGUAAAGUUCUUUUAUAUGGGAAGCGGUACCAGAAGAAAAAGCCCCGGCUAACUACGUGCCAGCCGCCGCGGUAAUAC
rnacentral:rRNA from 1 species